UGGCCUGAACAGGUCAUUCACUGUACUGACAGCCACGGAAAUGCACUUAGUCUGAUAAGGAUGCUGACGGUGACUGGAGAAAUCUCUUUGGGUUAUCUAUAAUGCGGCACAUACGACACCGCCCGCUGAGAGCCGAGCCGCCGCACUCCCGGUGCCGCCGCCGUGUCGGACGCAGCGCUCACCCAAGCCCCGACGUGCGUGUGCAGCCUCUGCUUCCUAGUGCCGGUAUUCAUGGAAAAGGGUUUUUGCUGAACCUGACGCUCAGAGAUGGGAGACGAGUGACUCUCCUUGGGUCACGCAGCCGCCCGCCGAACGCGACCGAACCCCCCAAAACCCGGACGGGCACCUAGGCUGUCAGGUCCUGGCUUUGUGCAGAUGAUGUGGAGAUCACAGGCAGCUUCACGGGGUCACUGAUGGUAACAGCACUGCCAGCGCGAAAACUCGAUGUCCAGCCCAUCCUAACACCGUGCUGUUAAACGGAGUUUGCUUUGGUUUAACGGGAACUGGACUUUACAGAGCGACUCUUUGCUUUUCACCACGUCACCGAUGAUGGAAGAUCAAGCUAAUUAGGAUACAAAGAUCUAACGGCGUGCUCCACAUGCUCGCUGGCGCUCGGUUAAAAGGUGUGAACGUGCCAAGGCAGUGAUGGCGGGUGCCUCCCCCCGUCCGGAAACACUUGUUUUGGGGAGGGUUGGUCGAGUGCUGCAGCAUUCGGCUACCGCAGCUCCGCGCUGCCUGCACAGCCCCUAUCUCACUGCAGUUUGCUUCCCUUACUCACUGUUAGUCCUAUAAGGAGUAAGUAUUAAUAUGAAAAGUAAUCUUCUUAAGAAAACCAUUACACUUUACUUUUGGAGCUUCCUCUUCAUGGGCAGGACCCCGUGCCCCCCCGCUGAUCCGGCAGCACGGGCUGGCAUCGCCCGGGGUUAAUUCGGACUUGGGGUUGCUGGAACAUGUUUGUGCCGUAUUCUCACCAUUUCAAACACCAGCAAACAGAGGAGGUUGGAAAUGAAGAAACUGCCUGAAGACGGCACCUGGCAAAGAACUUCUAACCCCAAAACCUGCUGUCUGUAACCGAGGGAAGAGAUGAAAAAUGGAAGAUGCCCCGCAUGGCCCACUGAGCCCCUUGGCGUGAAACCUGCCCCUAACCAGGCUCUGAGGCGGACGCAGCCACGGAGGAGCGAAGUCCAUCAGCCGGAGCCUCCCCGGGCGAUGCCCACGCGAGGGGGACACGGUGCCCAUCAGCCCCAGGAGGACGAACGCGGCCAUCGAGACCUUAGCCACAGACUGCGCACACCCAGUGAUGGGCAGAGCCGGUGAGGCUGAAACCUGACCUAGGGCACCUCAUUGGAAAGCAAAAACUGCGGGUUUGGAUCUGGCUCCUAUUACACUCAUUUUCUACUGACAUGAAUUUUAUGACUUUAGCGUAGCUACGCCUGAUUUGCACCGGUGAUUCCAGCGCCAGGUCUGCACCUCCGCAGGAACAGCAGUGCCGUUCGGCGGGACGCUUUGUCCUGUGGGGUGGCUCCGAGCCGUGACUCCAAUACCUGCUGCCCAACAGUGCCUUGGAAAUAACUGCAAAAUUAUUUUUUUAUACAGCGAGCAGCUUGUAUAACCCUACAAAGACCUGCUGGAAGCCCGGUCCAGAUCAAACCCCUGACUCAUCCGCUGCACUCAGUUAAACAGGAGGCUGUUAUGGCUCGCUAACGAUCCAGAACCAUACGGAGAGGCUAUGUCUGUUCAUAUGACUGUUCCUCCCGCCCCGAGGGGUGCAGGCAGCUGCCGGGUGCCCGGGGCUCACACAGGACACCCCAAGCCUCUGCAAAGACCAAGCAGGACGCGAUGCCCGGAGGUGUGCAGCCUCCCGUCGGUUCCCGGAUUUGCUUUAGUGGGUAAAAUCAUGUUUCUAAAAAAGCAAGCCGUUCCUGCCUGACACAUGCUAGCACACCUGCAAAGAGCUUUUCAGUGUUCAGAUAUAAAGAUCAAUGACUGCAGAGACAGUUGCCUUGGGCUAGGAGAAACGGUGGAAGGAAGAGAGCCUACAAUUUAAUACAAGAGAGCAAUCCUUUGGAAAAAGCCAUGCCCUGAUUUAUAGCAAUACAGAAAACAGACCAUGCUGUGCACCCCUCCUCAUCUACAAUAACAUCAAGAAAACUGGAGCCCAGAAAGCUGUAAGCUUUGUGCUGCUUUGUGCUCCAUACUGCACUGCAGAAACAACUAGGAAAAAAGGAACAAACCACGGAGGCCGCCCUGGCCAGCACCUCCUGCCCAUCGCCCGCUGGGCUCCAAGAGCUGGGGCUGGCAGCGAUGUCAUCAGGGCUUCGCUUGCACGCAGGACCAGGGCUUGCUCCCUUCGGAAAUAUCCGUGUUCCCAAAUAGCUGCUUGGUGGAAAAAGAAAAGCCCCGGCUGGGUCGUGAGGAUGUCUGCACACGUACCACCAACUCGCACAAUUUCUGCGGUGAAUUUUGCAUGAUGUGCUAAUAUUAUUCAUGUCCUGGGUUCAGGCAUCAGUGAUCCCAUGGGAACAAAGCCUCCCUUCUUAUUUAUAGUCUUGCUUUCUAGUUUUCCUCUCCUAUUCCAGCCUCAGGAAUGGUGGGAAAGAUGCAGGACUUCCUACCUGCUUCAGGACACCAAGACAUCGCCCGUGGUGCAGGACGUAGGAGAUAAGGGAUGCCCACGGAUUGUCACUGGGGCCGUGCUGGGCAGCAGGUGCCUGGAGGAGUCUGGCAACACACAGGUACAUGCUCAGGGAGAUGGUUUUCUAAAGUCUGGUGAAAAUACCCAUUCCUCACCCUCGGUGAGAGCCAGCGGUGCGGCCGUGCUGUGCCCUGGCAUCUGCUUUGGCUUGGGAGAGCACCCGCACCCCCUACUGCUGAUGGCAUCAACGCGGCCGCCCAGGCGCUCCAUUGAUUUUUCCUUUCUCGGAGAGAAAGCAAGAGUCAAGCUCUUAAUUACCUCAAUUACCAGUUUUCCUGUUUCCCUUUAUCUGUAUCAAAGGGCUUCUGUUGGCUUGUGUAGAAAAUUUUCUCCUUUUUAAGAAAGCGGCAGUCAGGUAAACAGCAAAAGCAGUGCUAGGAAAUUAAUUACUGGGGCAUUUGUGAGGCUGAGAACUCAUCAGCCCAGCUCGUUUGCGCUGACCUGCCGUCUCCAUCAGGGCCAACUCCUAUACGAGCAGAUCUCCACAGCACGGGAGGAAUUUCAUAUGUCUUCAAUGGUUUUUCCCGUUCCCCCAGAGUUUUGAUGCUUUAGUUUUUAAUCCCUAGACUCGGUUCAAAGAGGGUGAGAGAUGCUUAGCCCCAUGCUGUAUCAGCCCUGGCAUGUUCCAAAUAAAUGGUGACGGUGACACAUGAGCAUCCUUGGCAGCUCCCUACAGCAGCCGACCCCAUGCAGGGCAUGUCCCACCAACCCACCCAGAGUGAGUCUGCAUGAAAAGCAAGAACAUGCUCCAAAGAGCCCCAAACCAUCUCUCUCAAACCUAAACUAGAGCAAAAGAGUCUUGGGUAGCAAGCGAUGUGUUAUGGAGCAUGUGGACAAGACAAGAUCCUGAGCUUCCCAGGCUCUGUGAUGUGCACGGCGUGUUGAGAGAAGAGAAAGUCUCGAGCGUGACCCUGGGCUGGGGACGGAAAGCGUCACGAGGCCAGGGUGGCUCAUACCCCAACGGGGAAUGUCUCAAACGCACCAGGAUGGGCAGGUGGCAGAGGAUAAAUAAUGCCAAAGUGGGAAAUGAAAACAUGACAGGAAGUAACGGCAUGGCCUGAAAGUUCAUCAGUACAACUUAGGUGUGUUACAGAGAAUCAGGACCCUACCACAGCAACACAAGGAUCUCCUUCACAAAAAAAUUCAAGCAGAAAUAGCUUCGCUGGACCUUGAAGCUUUACUCAGGUAAAAAGCCCCUUCUACUGAAAGUAAAAAAGAAACAGUGCGUUGCUGAGGAGCACAGCAAGCACCGUGCUCCCCAAAUGAUGCUGUUCUUGGGUCAAAAACGCUGUCCUGAGCAACAUCUUCUCAGGUGUGCUACCAAACAGCUCAGAGAGCCCCGAGGUGCCCUGGCCCUCUGCCCUGUGUGUGCUCUUCAACACCAUCCCCACCCCACCCUGAAGUGACCCCCGAAGCCCUCCUUGCCCCCCCAGCCCCUACGGUGGAGGAGGAUGCAGUGCUGGGAAGGAGCUGCCCGGCUCUGCGGUGGCACAACAGCUUUACCUGCAUCUGAGCACCGUCCUGGAGCACCCAAACACAGCAGACCCACAACCAGGAGAUAAGUCACUUCUCGCCGAUCCAGGGUGAGCAGCUGGUGGGUUUGGUUGCCCUCCUUAGCCAGAGCACUCCAGCAAGGCGGCUUCCCAUCAGCACCUCGCUGCUGCCCCGACGACCCGGGACAGGGCAGUGUGCAGCCUCUCUGUGCAAUGCACUACUGAGGUGAGUUGUGUUCCAAGCAGGGCUUGGUGGGACCACACGCCUUCCCAUCGCAGCUACCAGUACUGGCGUUCACCGGUGAUGUGCCACCACCGAGAUGCUGCGGCUCUCCCCACACCAUCACGGCAAAGCAUCACGGAGGCGAAGCCAAGUGCCAAGUGCCAAGUGCCGAACCAUUUGCAGAAGCUCGAUUACACUGGAGGAGCAUUUACUUCUAUCCAGCCAGCCAAAGACAUGGCAUUUUAAGAAAAAAAAUAUCUGUACCAAUCAAGGGCUUAUUUAAAUGAAGGGCUGAAAAUUGGGAUCAGCCUGAAAAGUACAACAAACCUGAGGCCGUUAGUCUGAAAGUGGGUCUCAAGGGCACUUGAGGAAAAGGAGUAAGUGGACCCAAACACUCUUGAGGAUCACAUCUAUCCCUGGAGAAGAUUACGCAGUAAUAAAAUAUACUCAGCAAAUUCCCAUGGUUAAUCAUCUCUGUAAACUGAAUGCUUCACUUGACUGAAGGGAGAAGGCAUUUUUUUCCAUACGCUCUCUUUUAAUAUACUAGAGAGAAAUAAUUAAUCCUGCGUAGCAUUUCUCUUCUGAAAAUACUUCAUUUUAUUACAAGGAAGGCUUUAGCCAGUCAUCUUUUCUUUACCUACGUCCAGUCUAAAUCAAUCUUGUCCAGUGUCCAUAAAUAAAUCAGCUUAGGAAAGUCAGUGGAAAGAUAACUCUGCCAGCAACCUUCGGCGGAUGCUGAUACUGUUGUUACUGCCAGCUCCGCUUGCGGGGGAAUUCUCCUGCAGCACACAACGACUUUAAAAAGCCUAAAUCUCACCGAGAUUUAGCUCAACAAAUGAAUUAUUUCUCAACUCUGAUUCACUGCCCAGAAAAUCACGGGAAGAGAAGGGACCUGGUAAAGAAGUGCCCAGGUGCAGCGCUGGGAAGUUGCAGAGCGGCGUCUGCGGAGGAGAGGACGGGCACCAUUUCACAGCGGGGUUCAUCUGCACAACUUCUGUGCACAAGAAAACCACGGCUGCAGGGACAGACAGCGAUGGCCAGGCAGCGGUUUGCUGGUGGGCUGGCUGGAACAACAAAACGCAGAUGUUUUUCUGCUUGACUAGACAAAAGCAGCGUCUGGGCUGCGAGCAAAUACGCAAUAUAAUUUUUGAUGCCGUGCAAGGAUCUUCCUCAUAUUCCUUUCCCCUCUGUGCCGUUCAGCUUUAACAGCGGCAUGGAAGGCAGCAGGAGGGGACUCUGACCCACUGCUGGGAGGAGGCGCAGCCUGUGCAGCUCUUCUGACUCCGAAAUCCACCAAAACACGGCGGCCCCGACCCCAGGGCAGCUGCAGAGGAUGCUCAGGCACAGCAUCUGCUCCCCACAGGCGAGCAGGGCAGAGCCAGCACCAGCACCCAUGGGUGCUGUUCUCCUUCUCCCAGCGCACCACUGACCUACCCGGCGGCCCUUCAGGGACCCAUGUGGCACGCCAACCUUCUCCAACCCCAGCCAGCAGGCUGCGAGUAUUCUGCUCAUUACCAUUUAAGCAAUAUAUAUCUUGGAAUUGCUCCUAGGGAAGCAAGGGACACCUGAGCGUAUGUUUUCUGGAUAUAAAAAGACAAAAAACGUUGCUUCUUCAUGUAACUUAAGCCAAGCUACUAAUGUUAAAGCAUCUGGAAUUAAUUAUCUCAGCCAGAUAACGUUUCCACUAUUAUUUCAGUAACGCAAACGGCUCCGCUUGUAUUUGUAUCAACCUACUAACGGGGACCAGAGACAGACUGCACCUGCCACGCUCUGAGCAGGGGCUGCGGGCACGAGUCGCAGCGGAUGGGGAAUUGGCCAAAUCCCCCCGACCCUGCUGCUAACGGAGCUGAGCAUCGGAAGGCUCCAAAUACAGACAGGGGCACAAAGAUGACUAUCCUGUGAUUAGCACAGUGCCAUCACACGGGUCUCCUUACACAAAACCAAGCCAACGAAAGCAAAGCUUUGAGGAAUUUGAAAAGGCAGCAUCCAGCCUUUUUUAAUGCGUUUUGGAUCACUGCACUAACGCUGAAACACAGGAGAACAGCGUUGACGCUGAGUCACUUGAAGCAGCGCACAGCCCAUCCCACAAAACCAGGAGGGAUCCGUCUGCCUCUUGCACCAGCCACGUACUGCUACGCAGCUACGCUUGUCUCGGUGCGUCUUCCAGGUCUUCUUCAAGUGCACUGAAGGAAAAAAAAAAACCAAACCAACCCACCUACCAGCUCUUCUCCACCUCACCAAGGUCCUGGGAAGAUGGUAACGCAAUGCAGGCUUCACCUCAGUUCAACAGGAUUAUCCACUCACAGCAGCACCAAAACCAAGCAGCUAUUCCCGCUGCCGGGCUGUCCUGGUCCUCCCAUCACUCUGAAGAGCACUUAAUAUGUUUCUUGUCUUGUUCAAUGGGGACACAAGGUGCACUAAAUCACCGAGAGGCGAUUUAAUUACUGCUGCGGUUGCAAGCAGCGGCAAUCAGAUCUGCUACGGUCUGCCCAGCUAUACACCAGAUUCAUGGCUCUGGACGGAGAGCGGAGGUGACGGAGCAAGAUGCGGAGGCUCCCGAGGCGGUACCAAACCGGAGUUUGCCCUGAGAGCCGUAAAACUCGUUACGGAGCAGUGGGAAUCAAGCCCGCUUAUUCUAUACAUUUACUGCUGAAAUACACUUGACUUUCUGUGUGCUUGAUCCAGUAUAAACCACAGGCAUCCACUGGGAGGAUUAGCAAACAUUUAAAAUAAAAGUCCAAGUGGCUCGGUACUAGGUAAGAACAGCCUGGAUUAACACGUUUCCGUAGCAAACUAAUAAAGGUGAGGACUUGCUGAAAGCCCACACGAGAACUUGUCAGGCAGACUGUAAACCAGAAAUGAUUACGAGUAACAGACAGAGUAAAUCAGGCUUAUUCCUUCGCGAAGCACUCACGGGGCACACACUAACAACCCUCUGCAGCACCAGUACCACCUUUUGCACUGCCCAGACCCUCGGAACCGCUGAGCCGCUGCGAUUCACCCCAUCCCAAAUCAGCUAUCUCAAGGCCCAGCAGAACAGACCCCCCUGCAAACAGCCCGUGUCCCCCCCCGCUGCUCGCAGGGACAGUGGCUGCCGGAGCAGAUCCGACUGGAGACCUGCCCUUCCCGCAGCGGGGCUGCACGGGGACCUCACUGAUGUUACAUCACUGGGGGUUUUUUUUUUUGCCACUGGCCAACCCGUCCUCGCCGCGGCCAGGCGUCACCCCAGGGGUCCCCGGGAGCGGGCAGGGCGUGCAGGCAGCAAGCUUUCCUCUCUCUGCGCUCCCAUGUCCCAGGGCUUGUGAUCUAAACAUUUAGGCCUAGGGCAGUUGGGAUUUUUCUCUCUUUUGAUCAGAGCAGAGUCUCAGAUCUUGAAAGGGAAGCGUACAUGUAUUUCUGAAGCGUACCAGAAUCCAGGCAUAUUUAAGGGCAGGCAGCCACAAAAUGGGGAUAACUGACCCAAGAAAUAGCCUUUUGUAAAAUUGCCAGCAUGCCAUCUGCAAGCCCCAAACUCACACGUUUUUCACGAUGAGCUGAAGAGAAAAAAGAAAAAAAAAGAAAAGAAAAAAAAUAAAAAAGAAGGAUCAUGUUAAAAAAAUAAGCUCUGCUCCAAAAGAUACACAAACUGCUGCAGAAUCCUGCCUGCCCCUUCUGCAGCAAAGCCCAAGGGAAGCUGCUGAUGAGUCAACAGCCAGCCUGCAUCGCCGACCGAGGAAAGGAAGUCCAAUCUCAACACUCGAGAACAAAGUGUGCUGGUUCAUACAGUACAUGCUGAGAACGAAGCCUCAGAAAGCCCUCCCCGGGCGGAGAGCCGUGCUGCUGCGAGGAUACAGCCUGGAUGCCAUCCAGGGCUCCCGCUGCACGCCGAGGAAGAGGGAGAGGUGAAGUCCAGGCAUUGCUGGGACGUCUGCAUCGUGCCGGGCCGGCCUGGCCGCAGCUCCUCGGCAUCACCGCGCUCCGCACCGCGGCGGAUUGCUCCUGGUGUUAUUUUCUCCCUUUGCUGGAACCGCUCCCUCCCUGUGCUGGGUGUUCUGGAUGCGGCAUCCAGCCCCUCCGGGAUGAGCCAAGGUGUCUGCUCACUGGGAGCAGAAGGAAAGAAGGGCAGGGAUGUGCUCCAGUCCUACACCCAUUGCUGGUGCACCAGUUAAUUCCUCUCCCCACUCCAGUACGGUCAUCUCCAACGCUGCUCCCCGCGAGCAGACCCGCUCUGCGUGCCUCCUCUUGCUCCUUUUGCAAUAAUGCAAAACCACAACGUGGACAUUCCUGCCAACAACUCUGCACCCUCUCCAAGAACUGCUGGACCUCCUGGAGAUGUUGGGGCAACUCCUUACGGGACUGGAGUUGACUAAAGAGCAAGACAGCUCGAAGGAGAUGAACACCGGGCAGCUCCACAUCGUGAUCCGAGCACAGCCAGGAGCUGCUUUACCUGCGUGUGUGGCUCUUGGAGGAGAGGGGGCCGGAGGGGACGCGAGGGAGGAGGACACACCAGUGACACAAACACCGCGCCGACGUGGCAGACGGCGUUUGCGCUGGUGCCGCAGCCAUCGCCGAGCUGGUACUCGCAGAGGUUGUGCCUUCCUGUUGCCACAGCACUUUCUGUUUUCUGUUAAAACAGGGCCACAGCAACGAUGCAAGUAUAGAUCUGCAACGCCAAGAAUAUCUGGGAAACCUGCCAGCAAGAAGCAGCCUUCCUGCUCGUCCUCCCGCUGUGUGCGAAUUCACAGGAAACAGAAUCCACAGCACAUACUAAUGUGGCUUUAAUGCGAGAUCCAAGAGGCACCUCUAGAUCCUGCCUGCAUCCCUGUCAGCCCGGGGAAGGAGCCGCGUGCCAAAAAUGUUAAAUCAUUAAAUAAAGGAGGAAUUAAAGCCUGUACAGGUGCAUAAAA